rnacentral:rRNA from 1 species
CCUUGAAAUCGGAGUGCUUGCACCCUGUGAAACAAGAUACAGGCUAGCGGCGGACGGGUGAGUAACACGUGGGUAACCUGCCCAAGAGAUCGGGAUAACACCUGGAAACAGAUGCUAAUACCGGAUAACAACAGAUGAUGCCUAUCAACUGUUUAAAAGAUGGUUCUGCUAUCACUCUUGGAUGGACCUGCGGUGCAUUAGCUAGUUGGUAGGGUAACGGCCUACCAAGGCGAUGAUGCAUAGCCGAGUUGAGAGACUGAUCGGCCACAUUGGGACUGAGACACGGCCCAAACUCCUACGGGAGGCAGCAGUAGGGAAUCUUCCACAACGGGCGCAAGUCUGAUGGAGCAACGCCGCGUGAGUGAAGAAGGGCUUCGGCUCGUAAAGCUCUGUUGUUGGUGAAGAAGGACAGGGGUAGUAACUGACCUUUGUUUGACGGUAAUCAAUUAGAAAGUCACGGCUAACUACGUGCCAGCAGCCGCGGUAAUACGUAGGUGGCAAGCGUUGUCCGGAUUUAUUGGGCGUAAAGCGAGUGCAGGCGGCUCGAUAAGUCUGAUGUGAAAGCCUUCGGCUCAACCGGAGAAUUGCAUCAGAAACUGUCGAGCUUGAGUACAGAAGAGGAGAGUGGAACUCCAUGUGUAG